GGGUACGUGGCUUAGUGGGAAAAGUGCAUGCCAUACAAGCAUAAGGACCUGAGUUCAAAUCUCCAGCACCCA
rnacentral:tRNA from 1 species